rnacentral:rRNA from 1 species
UACAGAGGGUGCAAGCGUUGUUCGGAAUUAUUGGGCGUAAAGGGCGCGUAGGCGGUUCGGCAAGUCUCUAGUGAAAUCUCUGGGCUCAACUCAGAGUCUGCUGGGGAAACUGCCGGGCUUGAGUGUGGGAGAGGAGAGUGGAAUUCCCGGUGUAGCGGUGAAAUGCGCAGAUAUCAGGAAGAACACCCGUGGCGAAGGCGGCUCUCUGGGACGGUACUGGCGCUGAGACGCGAAAGCGUGGGGAGCGAACAGG